rnacentral:ncRNA from 2 species
CUCUUAUCAAGAGAGGUGGAGGGAAAGAGCCCGAUGAAACCCAGCAACCUGUCCUAUAGGACAAGGUGCUAAUUCUCUCAGAAGCAUGCUUCUGAAAGAUGAGGG